CCUGGAUCCCGGGCUCGCGGGGGCGCGGAGAAGAGGACCAAGGAAAGGGCCAUCAGCAUGCAGGCAUUUUGAAACUGACUUCUUCGCUGGCGACUGCAAGUGCCUGUGAUUUUUACUUUCCGUCUACAUUGAACGUCUUGUACUGAAAUUCACUGAGCCCUGCAUGCCACAGUGCCUCGCUAAGGGGUCUCUGGGUACAAAAUGCCUCUCCAAGGAAAUGUUUCGAGAUGCGUGGAGAGGUUUGGAAGCUCUAGGAGAAGAAAGAUGUUGGGAACAAAUAACAUGCCAGAUGUACUUCCAAUACAACUAUGCGCUUUUCAAGUGCCUGCAGUGACAUUCAUGGGCCUGUAGAGUCAUAGAACCCCAUGUUCCCUUGAAGAUGCUAGAUUUCUUUUCCCAAGGGCUGUUUGAAGGUUGUAACCAGCCUCUGGGAGCAGGAUAGCAUGAGUUUUGUGGCCCAACAGACCAGACUACCAUUUACUUUAUGUACAAUAGCAGGCAAGAGGCUCAGGCCAACGCCAUUCUCACCCAGCUGGUGAGGAGAGCCAGCAUGGAAAUCAGGAGCUCCAUUCCAGAGUCCCUGCUUUAAGCAACUGUUGUGAUUAAAGAGUGCAGUGGAUAUUUGAAGUGCUUAGCACAGUCCCUGACUGCUCCUGAAAUGAUAGCAAUGAAGAUGAUUAUCCCAUUGAUGAGAUGAUGAAGAUGAUGAUUGCAACAUGGUUGAAAGAAUAAGAUUUACACUCUUAGAUAACAGAAGAUAAGAGAACAAUGGACAUCCCAUGAAUUCUUCCCUGCUUCCUCUUGAUGAGAGAAAAAAGAAACCAAAACCUUGGGCCCCUGGAAUGAGCACUGGUCUUAGAGUCAGAAGACCUUGGUGUCAGAUACAGACUUUGGAUUGGUCGCCAACUUUGGGAGAAUUCGAUAAAGUGGGUAGAGAUGUCAGGAUUAAAUGGAAAGAGAUCCUGGGUACAAAGACUUAGCAUGGUAGGUACUGAGCUGAUGUCUGGUGGCUAGAAACAUACCAUGUCUUGGGAGAAGAUAUAAGGGUGACUCUGGAGAGAAGCAGUGCAAGGCAGCUCUGUCACUGAUGGAGCACCUGCAGGGAGUAGGUCAGCGUACCUAAAGAAUUCCUGGGUCUCCAGUGGGUGUGGCUCUGUUGGCUCUUGUGACAAGGACCUGCUGAUUUCCUUGACUUUGUAGUGGCCCUUCCUCUGUACUUC